AGGACAAAGAUGUGUAUGUGCAAGUUCAUAGCAGUUUUGUUCAUAACAUCCCAAAGCUAAGACAACCCUAAACGUCCAUCUCCUGGUGAAUGGAUAAACCAGUUGUCGUGUGUCCACAUGAUGGAACGCUAUUCCACAACAGAAAGGAGCAAUUACUGAGUGACUGGACCACCUGAAAGGAUGAGCUACAGGAGGAAGCCAGACACGGCAGACCAGCACCGCGCGAUCCCGUCUACGUGAAAUGACAGGAAAGGGCAACAUAGAGACAGCAGAGAUCUGGGGUUUCCGGGGUCUCAGACAGGACUGACUACAAAAGGGAGCAUUAAAGGGAAGCUUUGACAAGUGGGACAUAGAGGAGCCUCUGAAGGCGGGUCCGGGACCAUCACACAGGAGAAUGAAGCACCUGGGUCUUCAGGAGGAGGGAGACAGGCAGGAUGGAACAGGUACUCUCAGCAGCCUGGCACACUGUUCUCCAGCCAGGAGAACCUGCCAACCUCCCGUGGGCUGAGGUGGAAUUAGCGCUGUUUUGCAGGGCUCUGGUCUCAGCGAUGGGAGGGUUAGUUUCCGAUUUUCACCAGCAUUCUCAUCUAACCCCU
ensembl:lncRNA